rnacentral:rRNA from 1 species
GAUCAUGGCUCAGGAUGAACGCUAGCUACAGGCUUAACACAUGCAAGUCGAGGGGCAGCAUGAUUUGUAGCAAUACAGAUUGAUGGCGACCGGCGCACGGGUGAGUAACGCGUAUGCAACUUACCUAUCAGAGGGGGAUAGCCCGGCGAAAGUCGGAUUAAUACCCCAUAAAACAGGGGUCCCGCAUGGGAAUAUUUGUUAAAAAUUCAUCGCUGAUAGAUAGGCAUGCGUU